rnacentral:rRNA from 1 species
CCUACGGGUGGCAGCAGUGGGGAAUAUUGCACAAUGGGGGAAACCCUGAUGCAGCGACGCCGCGUGAAGGAAGACGUAUCUCGGUAUGUAAACUUCUAUCAGCAGGGAAGAAAAUGACGUUACCUGACUAAGAAUCCCCGGCUCACUACGUGACAGCAGCCGCGGUAAUACGUCGGGUGCAAGCGUUAUCCGGAUUUACUGGGGGUAAAGGGAGCGUAGGCGGUUCAGCAAGUCAGAAGUGAAAGCCCCGGGCUCAACCCCGGCACCGCGUUUGAAACUGUUGAACUAGAUUGCAGGAGAGGUAAGUGGAAUGCGUGGUGUAGCGGUGAAAUGCGUAGAUAUGAGGAAGAACACCGGUGGCGAAGGCAGCAUACCGGCGCGCAACUGACGCUGAUGCACGAAAGCGUGGGUAUCGAACAGGAUUAGAUACCCCUGUAGUC